AUUUGGAAGCACCGCAACGCUUGCAUUUUUGAUGGAGCGACACCUUCGAUCAACUUCACCUCCGAUACCAUCAAGGACGAGGCACGACUAUGGGCCAAGGCGGGCGCCAUUGGACUACAAAACAUUAUCCCCGGUGCUUAG
rnacentral:rRNA from 1 species